rnacentral:misc_RNA from 1 species
GAUGAAGAACGUAGCGAAAUGCGAUAAGUAAUGCGAAUUGCAGAAUUCAGUGAGUCAUCGAAUCUUUGAACGCACAUUGCGCCCUGUGGUAUUCCGCAGGGCAUGCCUGUUCGAGCGUCAUUUCAACCCUCAAGCUCUGCUUGGUGUUGGGCCCUGCCCGCUGCGGCCGGCCCUAAAGACAGUGGCGGUGCCGCCUGGCCCUGAGCGUAGUACAUCUCUCGCUCCGGUGCCCGGUGGUAGCCUGCCAGAACCCCAACUCUCGUGGUUGACCUCGGAUCAGGUAGGGAUACCCGCUGAACUUAAGCAUAUCAAUAAGCGGAGGA